rnacentral:rRNA from 1 species
UACGGAGGGUGCAAGCGUUGCUCGGAAUUAUUGGCGUAAAGGGUCGGUAGGUGGUCUCGUUUGUCUGGGGUGAAAGCCUUGAGCUUAACUCAAGAAGUGCCUCAGAAACGGCGAGACUAGAGUUCUGGAGAGGGUCGUGGAAUUCCCGGUGUAGCGGUGAAAUGCGUAGAGAUCGGGAGGAACACCAGAGGCGAAGGCGGCGACCUGGACAGAUACUGACACUCAACUACGAAAGCGUGGGUAGCAAACAGG